AUUGAACGCUGGCGGCGUGCUUAACACAUGCAAGUCGAUCGGUAACGCGGGGGCAACCCUGGCGACGAGAGGCGGACGGGUGAGGAACGCUUGGGAAUCUGCCUAUCAGCGGGGGACAACACGGGGAAACUCGUGCUAAUACCGCAUACGCUCUACGGAGGAAAGCCGGGGACCGCAAGGCCUGGCACUGAUAGAUGAGCCCAAGCCGGAUUAGCUAGUUGGCGGGGUAACGGCCCACCAAGGCGACGAUCCGUAGCUGGUCUGAGAGGACGAUCAGCCACACUGGGACUGAGAAACGGCCCAGACUCCUACGGGAGGCAGCAGUGGGGAAUAUUGGACAAUGGGGGAAACCCUGAUCCAGCGACGCCGCGUGGGUGAAGAAGGCCUUCGGGUUGUAAAGCUCUUUCGGCCGGGAAGAAAUCGCACGGGCUAAUACCCUGUGUGGAUGACGGUACCGGAAUAAGGAGCACCGGCUAACUACGUGCCAGCCGCCGCGGUAAAAC
rnacentral:rRNA from 1 species